AGAGUUUGAUCCUGGCUCAGAACGAACGCUGGCGGCGUGCUUAACACAUGCAAGUCGAACGCGAACGGUAUCUUCGGAUACCUAGUAGAGUGGCGCACGGGUGAGUAACGCGUAAAUAAUCUACCCUGAUGUCUGGGAUAACCAGCCGAAAGGCUGACUAAUACCGGCUAUAUGUUUCCCUGUUGGGGGAACCAGGAAAGGUGGCCUCUAUUUAUAAGCUAUCGCAUUGGGAUGAGUUUGCGUACCAUUAGCCAGUUGGUAGGGUAAAGGCCUACCAAGGCAACGAUGGUUAGCGGGUCUGAGAGGAUGAUCCGCCACACUGGAACUGGAACACGGACCAGACUCCUACGGGAGGCAGCAGUGAGGAAUAUUGCGCAAUGGGGGCAACCCUGACGCAGCGACGCCGCGUGGAUGA
rnacentral:rRNA from 1 species